UGCCCAGCAACUCCUACCCUUACCUGCUCAUGGUACUGGCCGUAGUACGAGCAACCUAAGGGAAGAUCGGGUAACCAACCCCGGUGGGAGCUUUGGUAGUAUGCUGACAGGGAAGG
rnacentral:ribozyme from 1 species